rnacentral:sRNA from 1 species
UCAAUGGUUGACUGUGAGCAUCUGCCACUGGAUUUGUCACUGAGCCCGCUCACUGAGCCUGGAGCUUAGCCAUUCAGCUGGACUGACUAGCCAGAAAGCCCUAAGAAUCCCUUUGUCUCCACCUGCCCAGUGCUAAGGUUAUAGAUGCAAGAUACAGAAAGUUUGGCUUUUUAUGUGGGUGACUGGAGUACAAACCUGGGUCCCCAUGGUGGCCCAGCAAGCCCUUCACCUCCUCAGUCCCCAAUAUUUGCCUCUUUUUGUGCUAUAUCUCUGUUCAGGGAGUUAAGUGGUUCAUUUCUAGUCUUAAACAGCUUCUUUCGGGCGAAACCCUCGUUUUUUCCAAUAUUCCUGCUUAAUCUGUGUUAUUGUUAUAAAACUUGGCAACAUGAAACUGGCCACUUUGGUCACUUUAAGCUACGCAGCUCAGUGGCAGGUACAUUUUUUGUGCUGUGAGACAUGAGCAGCAAGCAUGUCUAGCUUCAUCACGCCAGCCUCUCACUCCUUAAACGGCUUACCUUACCUCUACUCUGUCUUGUUCCCUGCCCCUGCAAAGCACUCUGCUAUUUCCCCUGCCUGUGAAUUGAACUAUUUUAGGUCGAAGAUUUCAGGUAAGCAGAGUCAUCUGCUAUUUGUCUGGCUUAUCUCCCUUAGACUAAUGUCUUUAAUGUUCGUCUUGGUUGGGGCACGUGUCAGGAUUUCGGUUCAUUCCGGAGGUGGAAUGGUGUUUCGUCAUGUGUGUAUAUAACGCACUUUCUAGGUCCAGCGGGAUACAGAUGGAUAUUGGGGGGGCGGUGUGUUCCACUUUCUGGCUGUUUAGAACACGUUGCCAUUGACACAGUCAUUCCAAGUUCUCUUUGUGCUUCUUUGAGGUUCUUUCAGGCAAUCCCGUAUUCAACCUUGAGGGCUAUCACGCUCUCCUCUACAAUAUUAGGUUCCCGUGGGUGCAGCUUAAGGGCCUGCCAUUUCCAUAGCCUUCUCUACACUCGCUUCUCAUAGUAGCCAUUCGAUCAAGGAAGCCUUCGUUAGCCUUCAGGUUUGUGAAUACCUGCCCCCCUUUUAUCCUGUGUAUAAAAUUCUGGCGGUAAGUUUCCUGACCCUAUUCCCUCCCAAGGAUAAAUUAUCCCAUCUUUCUAAUCAGAUCUAUUAGUUUUGUCAAUAAUCCCACAUACUCAUAAUUGGAGAUUACUCGGGGAUAAAAAUCUGUUACGGUGGUUGUCUUUGUUCCCUUCGAUUAGCAAUGCCUCCUGCUGCAGAAUACUGAAAUCCACCCGACAACUACUAUCUGCAUUAUAGAAAAAGGAAGGCCAAAUAGUUCCUUCUGAUACCAAUUCUGCUAGUAUUUAUGGCGGACGGGCCUCUGUUCGGGGGCUUGCUGGUGAUGGAAACCAUAUAUCUCCCUGUAACUUUUUGCAUUUGGGCCCAUAUCAUGCAGCCUCACGGAGCUUCAUAAAUACGGAGCUUCCUGUCUGUGGGGGUCUCACAAGGGCACGGAUUCUAGGCUCAAAUGAUGAAGCAUUGCCUUUGUGGGGACCGGCAGCAGCAAGACGCUCCUAUUAAAUAAGACAAACAGGUGGCUGGAUGUUUUGUGAUCAUUUUAACAAUUGGGUUCAAGUCCCGUUACCUCUUCUAAAUUAACUGCAAGGAGAUCCAUCACCCGGGCCAAUAACACACCUGGCAGGUUGCACGGCCCUCACCGUCUAGGCCUCUGUGAUCAUGGGUGUGAAUCAUAGCCUUUACGCUGCCUGAGGCACCGGCGUAAGAAAGCACAGCCUAGACCCAGCUGAUUAAGCUGUAGCAUAAAACAACACUUCAGUAGUCAGGCACAUGACAGCCCACCAUAGUUUAUUGGACCAAAGAGUAUAACAUUGUAAUUUACUUCUCUAAUACAUGUCAUGUUUUCUCUUAUUGUUUCCCUUAUGGAGUGAAAUAUGCAGGAAAGAGAUUGCAGUGCGAGCUUCAUGUGUUAUGCCCCUCCAAAAUUAGAGGGUAACAAACUGUCUUUAUUAUCCUGUGCCUUUGGUAAGCUGCCACAAAUCACAGGAGCCACUGCAGGUGAGUAUCUAGUGGCUUCGAAAGUCAAGGCAAACUAAAAGACUCUCGUGUCUCUGCCUGAAGCUAUUUUUUGAACUACAGUUGCAGCAAGACACAAUUACUGCACUUCCUGACCCUUCCUUUUUAUCGUAAGCUCCUAACCAAUUUUUCUCCCCUAUUGACAGGAAAGCAGGAUUUAUAAAGUCUAGCGCGAUGCAAAUAUUUCAAGGCUUAAUUUCCCCCCUCAAAUGCAGGAGCGUAAGUUGCUUAGCGUCUCGGUGAGUUUAUUUUUCUUUCUAAACUGGAAUUCAUGGCUGCUCUCCAGCUGCAAACAGCCCCAGUCACAGAUAAUUUAAAGAGAACAGCUUACUUGUUUGUCAAGCAAACAUGUGUAAUCUGAUGAAAUUAUUAAUGUCAUAGUGUAAACUCUCUUCUCAUAAAUACAGUUAGCAGCGCUGACAUUGCAAUUAGGCUCCAAUGUUCCGGCUCCCUGCUCCUUCGCUCAGUCUGUCAGUCCGGCGCAGGGGAGACAAAUUGUGGUGGGCACUUGACAAUGCGAAAAAGAGAUAUAAACCUCAUCUGAUUAGAUCUCGGUGAAAGAUUAAACGGUUCUGAACGUUUGCCAGAUUCUUAUGAUACGACAUUUUUAACCAGUGGUAAUAAAAAGUCCCGUUCGAGAGAGGGUUUUAAAAAAGAUUAUAGGGGAUCACAUACAUGCGUCUGCAUGAGUGAUAUGUGUCCACACAUGUGAGAGACGCAGCGAGAAAGAACACAGUCUCUUUUCACCUGGGAAUCUCGUUUUAUUGCCUUAUCAUAAUAUUCUUGCCGCGCUCUUUGGAUUUUUGUAGUAAUUUGUGGGAGAGGAGGUGGCACUGACUUGCAUAUUCCCAGGGUGGCUUCUUAUUUAAAAAAAUCCUAGCCCACUAGUAGAGCUGGUGCUCCCGUUGGCCUGUUUACAACAAGCAUGUCUGCUCUCACUGGGUACAAAUGUGUCUCACUGGGUAAAAAUAUUUCCAUGCCUGAUCUAGCAGCUGAUAAGAGUGGGCACACGUGUGUGCUGCAACGUCAUCUUGCUGACUCACUCUAUACCUCGUCCAUGUUAUUUUACAUCCCUUGAAAAUAGACAGAUUGAUUAUAACGGCUAACACCUAUAUCCUACUUCUGAUUGCAUUUCCUAUGUCCGAAGACUGUUCUGGUUGCUCCAUAUUCUUCCCCUCGUUUAAGUCUGCAUACCACACCACUCCUGGUAUGCACCCUCCUUUGUAGAUGAGGACGCCGAGGAAGAGAAAGGGGAGCUUACUUUCUUAAAGCCAAGUAGGUAAUAACAGGUGAACUAAGACACGGUUACAUACAGACAACGACAUGGGCCUAUUGGUUUAAAAGCACAACUAUGGUUACCAUCUUUGACCUAGAGAUUAUGAGUCUUUUAUGUUCUGCAAGGCCUUCUCAAAUUCCCACUCAGCACAGAAUAAAAUAUCCAAACACCAAAUAAUCAUAAACGGAUAUUUUAAGUCCUCAGCAUUAACCAGUAUUAACACCCCAGAGAGACCGAGGCAGCAGGAUCGUCCUGAGUCCAAGGCUAGGCUGGUAUGCAUAGUGAGUAAUGGCUAGCCAAUGCUACAUAGCAAGAUGUUGUCUCAUAGCCUUAAAUCAAGCAACCAACCAAACGAAAGCCAUGGCAUUGCGGUCUGAAGAUUAUGAACACUCGUACUAAGGGAGAGACGAAAUUGGAUGAUUUCUUUAAGUAACAAAGAAACCUCAUGUACUUCAGACCUCUAGCAGCAUAAGCGAUUGCAAGUGCAUUCAUGAAAAGUAAAAGGAAAUACAGAGAGCCCAGAAGAGGCGAGCCCUCUCUACCUAAGCCUUGUUGACUUAUAGAAGAAUGACAAUAAUAAGGUAAGACACUUUCUAUACCCGCUUAUGGCUAAAACCUCCUUGAAAAUGCAGAAGCAACCUACAGGGGUGGUUCUAACCCCUUUGUUCUCUUUACAUUUGGUUACUAAAAUGUGUCCUCGCAUCUUCCUCCUCCAUUGUAUGAUACUUGUGUGGGGAAUGACCCUUGUAGGAGGAGGGUGUUUAAAGCAGUCAGUAGAAGAAGCCGGUCGGUCCUACAGGGAGCCAGCAGAGGGCUGAGUGAAUGCCUAAGAGUGAGAACCAUGCUUUUAGUCGUGCUAAACAGCGCUUCCCCGCUCUGAAAGUUCAUUAUAUUUGUCAUCAGACUAAUUAUUCUGCACUUGUUGCUAAGUCUGUUGCUUGCUUUCUCGUGAGCAGUCACUCCGCUCUCCUUUAAUCUCCGUCUUCUAACGUGCGAUACGCGCUAUAAAAUUUCUUUCCUUGUAUGGGAAUUCUAAGGUCUCUUUCCCCCCUCAACAGCUUGAAUUCCUGUAUUCUGAUUAAGAUAGAUGAAGUAUUUGCAUUCUAUCCAUAUUCAUAAUCCUCUUUCAGAGUCAACCUAAAAUACCACAUUUGUUGCCCAGGCAGAGACAGGCAACGUGCUACUGAGCUAUGCAGGGUUUUGUUUCAAAGGAUAAGGAUCCAUUGCUUUCAAAUCCCACAGAAGAGUGGCCACUAGGUGAAUUCAGGCUGUUAAAAAAAAAAAGCCCAGGACAAUCAUAGUGCCUUUUAUAUGUGGCAGAAACAAUAAUUAAUGAUCCCCCUUUUUAUGCUACAGAAAAAGACGGCAAUGCAUUUGACAGACAUGUUAUUAAUAGUUUCUGCCAACUUGCCAUGCAUAAAGGGUUUAUUGGUUAUAACACCAGUGUAUGAAGACAUUCUUUUCCUUGAAAUGUUCAAGAUGGUUGUUUUAUGGAUGAAAAAUGAAUGCAAUCUGUCUACCGCCACUCAAAGUUUGGGUUUCAAUAAUAAAAUUAAAACGAGUGUGACAUUUCCUAUUGUGGUAUUUAACCAUCUGCUUCCUGCUGGUCCUCGCGAUAAUGGCCUUACCUAGGUAGUCUCUAUUUAACAAGAAGACCCACUGAUAUUGUGUCUCAUGGUUAUUUUAUAAAGAAGAUUUAUUAUUGAUAGAGGGACUUGCAUAUUGGCCAUUGUUCCUCUGAUAAAAGUGAAUCCUUUCAUCUUGUCAAGCAGAGGAAUCUUCUGCUUGACAAACAAGAAUGGACGCUUGGAGCCUCGUAAGGACUAGGAAUUUAGAAAGUAUACACAGGGGGAGUGUACGUCAGUGACACGUUCUUGCCAAGUGGGAUGUAUAUGACUUUAGGCAAGCACCUAUUAUUUUGCUGCCCUAUAUUAAUUAAAAAAGAUCGGCUUCUAAAUGCUUUCUCAGUCUCUGGAAGUUAAAUCUUGAGGCGUUAUUUACUUUCAUUUUGAAACUGCUUCAUGAAUGUUCUUCUUUAGGAUGGGUCUGCCACAGCAAUGAUUUCUGUCUAUCAAUUAAUCAGGAGAAACGGACAGCCCUUUACCACAUGGAUUCACAAUAAAGCAAUGGAGACACUGCCCAGAAGCUAUCUUAAUCCUCCUUUAUGGAUGGCUGGGAAGAGGAAUAAUCAAUAUUUUAGCAAGUCUUUGGAUUUUGUGUCAGACAACCUGGAACGUAGACACACAAAGCCUUAGACUCAGAAGUCUUCUCGCUAUUGACAAGCUCGCACCCUUAUUGGACAUAUACUAGUGAUAUCCACAUGAUUACUGAUUUUCUCGGAAUCUUUCAUCCUCUGCCGGUAAAUCAGUGAGGAGGGAGAAGAGUUUCCUCUCCACUAUGCGUACUUCAACAUCCAUCCGCUCCCUCCUCCAUCAUAGUUGUUUCCUCGCUGGUGACAUGACAUGAAAUAUGGCUGCAGGUGAUCUUUCAAGUCUUCUUUACCAAUAAAAUGAUGACUGUGUUACUUCUAUAAAACAGAUUAGAGGUGAGGGUAAAGCUGUUUUAUGGUGUGGCUUUUGUGAUCCUGUCCUGGGAAAAGCUACUUUAAAAAAACAAAACCUGUCCGUCUUCAUAGAAGGGACGGAGAGACUCCCAUUGAGGCUUUAAUCACACAUAGGCAGGGAGACUGCAUACUCAAAGCAGCCUAGCACCUAGGAACUCGACAUGGGAAGAUUUUGAGUUCCAGGUCAGCCUGAGCAACAGAGUGAUAUCCAGUCUCUUAAACCAAAGUGAAAAUACAAAAAAAGAAAGAA